AAUUUUUUUACGACCUUUGCUAAAAAAAAUUCUUACAAAACCAUUGUGGAAUCACAUCUACGCAAAAAAAAAAAAUCUACAACGACGUUCAGGUUAUUGAUCAAGUGAUCUGUUGCUCAUUUGUUUGAGUCAAUUUCAAUAGCCGCACUUCUCAAACUGUGAGUUAAAAAUUACACCUUUGCACACCUCUUUUAAUUGUAAAAACUUAUUUCUAUUCUUACAAAAUUAUUUAUAUUUAUAUUCAUUUAUGCUUAUUUAUUUUUUAUGUCGCAUUUAGCCAUUUAGGUGGAAUUUAGUUUGCUUCUCAGCAAAUAUUGAGCAAGUUAUCUACUACUCAUUUGUUUAAUAAUUUAAACCCCUACAACAAACAA